rnacentral:rRNA from 1 species
AACCAGCACCUCAAGUGGUCAGGAUGAUUAUUGGGCCUAAAGCAUCCGUAGCCGGCUUUGUAAGUUUUCGGUUAAAUCCAUGCGCUCAACGUAUGGGCUGCCGGGAAUACUGCAAAGCUAGGGAGUGGGAGAGGUAGACGGUACUCGGUAGGAAGGGGUAAAAUCCUUUGAUCUAUUGAUGACCACCUGUGGCGAAGGCGGUCUACCAGAACACGUCCGACGGUGAGGGAUGAAAGCUGGGGGAGCAAACCGGAUUAGAUACCCGGGUAGUCCCAGCUGUAAACUAUGCAAACUCAGUGAUGCAUUGGCUUGAUGCCAAUGCAGUGCUGCAGGGAAGCCGUUAAGUUUGCCGCCUGGGAAGUACGUACGCAAGUAUGAAACUUAAAGGAAUUGGCGGGGGAGCACCACAAGGGGUGAAGCCUGCGGUUCAAUUGGAGUCAACGCCAGAAAUCUUACCCGGAGAGACAGCAGAAUGAAGGUCAAGCUGAAGACUUUACCAGACAAGCUGAGAGGUGGUGCAUGGCCGUCGCCAGCUCGUGCCGUGAGAUGUCCUGUUAAGUCAGGUAACGAGCGAGAUCCCUGCCUCUAGUUGCCACCACUACUCUCAGGAGUGGUGGGGCGAAUUAGCGGGACCGCCGUAGUUAAUACGGAGGAAGGAAGGGGCCACGGCAGGUCAGUAUGCCCCGAAACUCUGGGGCCACACGCGGGCUGCAAUGGUAACGACAAUGUGUUCCGAAUCCGAAAGGAGGAGGUAAUCCUCAAACGUUACCACAGUUAUGACUGAGGGCUGCAACUCGCCCUCACGAAUAUGGAAUCCCUAGUAACUGCGUGUCACUAUCGCGCGGUGAAUACGUCCCUGCUCCU